GGGAAACGAGGCAGGGGCUGGGGCCAUGAGCCAUCCCAAGCCCUGGGAAAUAUAGGCUCA
rfam:Gorilla gorilla gorilla genomic chromosome, chrX, whole genome shotgun sequence